rnacentral:tRNA from 1 species
GGGCCGGUAGCUCAGCAUGGGAGAGCGCCCGCUUGGCAUGCGGGAGGACCCGGGUUCAAGUCCCGGCCGGUCCACCA